GAUGAAGAACGCAGCGAAAUGCGAUAAGUAAUGUGAAUUGCAGAAUUCAGUGAAUCAUCGAAUCUUUGAACGCACAUUGCGCCCGCCAGUAUUCUGGCGGGCAUGCCUGUUCGAGCGUCAUUUCAACCAUCAAGCCCCCGGGCUUGUGUUGGGGACCUGCGGCUGCCGCAGGCCCUGAAAACCAGUGGCGGGCUCGCUAGUCACUCCGAGCGUAGUAGUUACAUCUCGCUCAGGGCGUGCUGCGGGUUCCGGCCGUUAAAAGCCUUUUACCCCAAGGUUGACCUCGGAUCAGGUAGGAAGACCCGCUGAACUUUAGCAUAUCAAUAAGCGGAGGA
rnacentral:misc_RNA from 1 species